UACGUAGGGUCCGAGCGUUGUCCGGAGUUACUGGGCGUAAAGGGCGCGUAGGCGGCACUGCAAGUCAGUUGUGAAAUCUCCGGGCUUAACCCGGAAAGGUCAACUGAUACUGCAGGGCUAGAGUGCAGAAGGGGCAACUGGAAUUCUCGGUGUAGCGGUGAAAUGCGUAGAUAUCGAGAGGAACACCUGCGGCGAAGGCGGGUUGCUGGGCUGACACUGACGCUGAGGCGCGAAAGCCAGGGGAGCGAACGGG
rnacentral:rRNA from 1 species